rnacentral:misc_RNA from 1 species
GCACCUGCCUUUGGGUGCUAGAGGUGCCACUCGCUAGGCUUUGAGCCUGUGGCACCAGGAGCUUGAGGCAUGCCUUUGACAAUUUAACAUAGCAAAAAAGGAAAAAAAAAAAUUGAAACCACAUUCACUGCGAGAUACAUUUUCUCCUGAUGCGAAAUAAAUCUCAAAAUAAUUUGUCAUAUGUCUUAGGAACAUACUCUUUCACAAAAAAUGACCU